rnacentral:rRNA from 1 species
UACGGAGGGUGCAAGCGUUAUCCGGAUUCACUGGGUUUAAAGGGUGCGUAGGAGGGCAGGUAAGUCAGUGGUGAAAUCUUCGAGCUUAACUCGGAAACUGCCGUUGAUACUAUCUGUCUUGAAUACCGUGGAGAUGAGCGGAAUAUGUCAUGUAGCGGUGAAAUGCUUAGAUAUGACAUAGAACACCAAUUGCGAAGGCAGCUGGCUACACAAAUAUUGACACUGAGGCACGAAAGCGUGGGGAUCAAACAGG